rnacentral:rRNA from 1 species
AGACAGACUCGUUAUAGGGUCAAGCGAACAAGUGCAUGUGGUGGAUGCCUUGGCGAUCACAGGCGAUGAAGGACGCGGUAGCCUGCGAAAAGCUACGGGGAGCUGGCAAACGAGCUUUGAUCCGUAGAUGUCCGAAUGGGGAAACCCGG